GAUGAACGCUGGCGGCGUGCCUAAUACAUGCAAGUCGAGCGAACAGACGAGGAGCUUGCUCCUCUGACGUUAGCGGCGGACGGGUGAGUAACACGUGGAUAACCUACCUAUAAGACUGGGAUAACUUCGGGAAACCGGAGCUAAUACCGGAUAAUAUAUUGAACCGCAUGGUUCAAUAGUGAAAGACGGUUUUGCUGUCACUUAUAGAUGGAUCCGCGCCGCAUUAGCUAGUUGGUAAGGUAACGGCUUACCACGGCAACGAUGCGUAGCCGACCUGAGAGGGUGAUCGGCCACACGGGAACUGAGACACGGUCCAGACUCCUACGGGAGGCAGCAGUAGGGAAUCUUCCGCAAUGGGCGAAAGCCUGACGGAGCAACGCCGCGUGAGUGAUGAAGGUCUUCGGAUCGUAAAACUCUGUUAUGAGGGAAGAACAAAUGUGUAAGUAACUAUGCACGUCUUGACGGUACCUAAUCAGAAAGCCACGGCUAACUACGUG
rnacentral:rRNA from 1 species